rnacentral:rRNA from 1 species
CACGUAGUUAGCCGUGGCUUAUUCCUCAGGUACCGUCACUUGCUUCGUCCCUGAGAAAAGAAGUUUACAACCCGAAAGCCUUCUUCCUUCACGCGGCGUUGCUGGGUCAGGCUUGCGCUCAUUGCCCAAUAUUCCCCACUGCUGCCUCCCGUAGGAGUCUGGGCCGUGUCUCAGUCCCAAUGUGGCCGGCCAACCUCUCAGUCCGGCUACUGAUCGUCGCCUUGGUGGGCCGUUACCCCGCCAACUAGCUAAUCAGACGCGAGUCCAUCUCAGAGCGAUAAAUCUUUGAUGUCCAGUGCCAUGCGACACAGACAUAUUAUGCGGUAUUAGCAGCUGUUUCCAGCUGUUAUUCCCCACUCCAAGGCAGGUUACUCACGCGUUACUCACCCGUCCGCCACUAAGUAGUCCCAUCAGUUGUCCGAAAACUCCUUCAGGGGUACUCCGUUCGACUUGCAUGUGUUAAGCACGCCGCCAGCGUUCAUCUCGAGCAGGAUA